AAUGAACGUUGGCGGCAUGGAUUAGGCAUGCAAGUCGGGGGAAUCCCAGCAAUGGGGGAACCGGCGUAAGGGGCAGUAAGGCAUGGGUACCUACCUUGGGGUUCGGGAUAGCCAUCAGAGAUGGUGGGUAAUACCGGAUGACGUCGUGAGACCAAAGAUUUAUCGCCCUUAGAGGGGCCCAUGUGAUAUUAGCUAGUUGGUGGGGUAACGGCCCACCAAGGCGAAGAUGUCUAGCGGGUGUGAGAGCACGACCCGCGCCACUCGCACUGAGACACUGGCGAGACACCUACGGGUGGCUGCAGUCGAGGAUCUUCGGCAAUGGGCGCAAGCUUGACCGAGCGAUGCCGCGUGAGCGAUGAAGGCCUUCGGGUUGUAAAGCUCUUUAGUGGGGGAGAAAAGCCGCAAGGUGUGAUCUAUCCCAAAAAUAAGCACGGGCUAAGUUCGUGCCAGCAGCAGCCGCAG
rnacentral:rRNA from 1 species